rnacentral:rRNA from 1 species
CUACGGGGUGCAGCAGUGGGGAAUAUUGCACAAUGGGCGCAAGCCUGAUGCAGCCAUGCCGCGUGUAUGAAGAAGGCCUUCGGGUUGUAAAGUACUUUCAGCGGGGAGGAAGGGAGUAAAGUUAAUACCUUUGCUCAUUGACGUUACCCGCAGAAGAAGCACCGGCGAACCCCGUGCCAGCAGCCGCGGUAAUACGGAGGGUGCAAGCGUUAAUCGGAAUUACUGGGCGUAAAGCGCACGCAGGCGGUUUGUUAAGUCAGAUGUGAAAUCCCCGGGCUCAACCUGGGAACUGCAUCUGAUACUGGCAAGCUUGAGUCUCGUAGAGGGGGGUAGAAUUCCAGGUGUAGCGGUGAAAUGCGUAGAGAUCUGGAGGAAUACCGGUGGCGAAGGCGGCCCCCUGGACGAAGACUGACGCUCAGGUGCGAAAGCGUGGGGAGCAAACAGGAUUAGAUACCCGGGUAGUC